GUCCGACCAUACUUUCUCUUGAGAAGUGAGUCAUUAUCAGUGAUUUUAAAACGAGAUAGUAAUUAGGUAUGACCAAAAUUUAACUAAAGAUUUAGAGUAUUUCUUCUUUCUCCCUCUCCCCCACCCCUCCUCUUUUUUUCUCUCCCAUUCCUUUGUUUUCUUUUUUCUUUUUCUUUUUCCCUUUAUUUCUUUGAAAAAAUAUUAAUCAUGUGUGUUAUACAUAGUAGUUAUUGAACAAAUGAAAACAUGUAAAGGAGAAAGAAAUGUGGAUCAGAACUAUUAAGUAUUUUGAGGAAAAUUAUCUUGGGACUCAUCAAAGAUAAUUUAGAAACAGUCAUAAAAAUCAUUUUAAACUCCACUAUUUUCUAUUCAUUUUAUUUAUGAGUUGUUGAAAACCAAAAUCUUACAAUUGGAAUUCAUGUGAAAUUAUCUCAUGGUGUUGUCUCUCUUUCAAAUGCAAAGUUUAUGUGUCCUGUGCGUGUUAAUGCCAAUUUUUCAUCAUCCUACCAUGCUAAAGAAAUUUUCUGUCCUGAAUAUCUUUGUCAUAUUUAGAUAUUUUAGAUAGCUCUUCUGGCCAAGAAUAUGGAUCAUUUACAGCAUGGGGCAAGUUGAUAUAUAUAGCAUCAUGACAGUGAAGCAAAUUCCACAAGGACUGCUAAUGGACAGAGAAAUUUCAUGGAGAAAAGCUAGCAGACAGAGCUGGAAUAAAACAAUGAAAAAGCCCAGAGGGAAGGAAGAUAUCGCAGAGAAGGCAGGACCCUACAAGGCUGUGAAUUGCCUCUCCAAGGUCUGGUGGGAGAAUGCUGUCAGUCACACUGCUUUCCAGAGAUUAAGUCUAUGGUCUCUUUCAUAAUGGCUUGCUCAAUUUAAAAACUGUUACUUGAGAGAAAAACACAGCUAUAACAUAGUACACCCAACCUCAACUGGCUUUUCUACUGUCUCAGGAUCAAAAUGUAACCUGUCUUCACUCUGCUAAUGAAGUAUUUGUAUGAAAAUGCACAGUAUUCAUAAACCCAGUCUAGUACUUACCAGAUUUAUUGAUGGAGGGUUUGCCUGUCCUUCUCAUUUACGAAGGGCAGAAUAUCCUCUUUAUUUCUCUUGAGCUGAAAGCUCCAUUUACCCUUAUAAGACAAGAAAUUAGCUCAAGCUUCAACUGGUGAUUCCUAGCUAAGUUUUUGAAUACAAAAUAAAAAUCAUAAAAUAAUGCCAUAACGGAGCCUCUUCCUCUAGUUCUCAAGUUUUUGCUUGUUUUUAUUUUUAAAGCCUAAUUCAAGAGAGCCAAAAUGCUGCAUUUCCAUGAAUGAAUCUUUGAGCGAUUUAAUUUCCUGC
rnacentral:lncRNA from 1 species